AAAGCAAGCCAGACGAUCGCCAGUCAAUCUGGAGGAAAGUCCGAACACCACAGGGCAGGGUGCUUCAUAACGUGAAGUCAUGGCAACGUGAAGGAAAGUGCAACAGAAAGCAUACCGCCGAUGAUGAAUUCAUUAUGAAUUCAAACAGGUAAGGGUGAAAAGGUGAGGUAAGAGCUCACCAGUUCUUCGGGUGACCGAAGAAGCUUUGUAAACCCCACCCGGUGCAAGACCAAAUAGAUAAACGCUUGAGAACGGCCCGUUCAAGUUUUCGGGUAGGUCGCGUGAGAUAUCAAGCAAUUGAUAUCCUUAGAUGAAUGAUCGUCACCAACUGAACUUUAGUUGGUACAGAAUUCGGCUUAUGGCUCGCUUUGGCC
rnacentral:RNase_P_RNA from 2 species